rnacentral:misc_RNA from 1 species
AAGUCGUAACAAGGUUUCCGUAGGUGAACCUGCGGAAGGAUCAUUAAAGAAUUAGGCUUCGCGGCCAAGUUCUCACCCUUUGUAUGCCGAAACCAUGUUGCUUUGGCAGGCCCCGCUUCUUCUGGCCGGUCGCCAGAGGUUAUAAGCCCACUAGAAUCUCUGCUGUCUGAGUACUAUACAAUAGUUAAAA